UACGUAGGGUGCAAGCGUUAAUCGGAAUUACUGGGCGUAAAGGGUGCGUAGGCGGUUGUUUAAGUCUGUCGUGAAAUCCCCGGGCUCAACCUGGGAAUGGCGAUGGAUACUGGACAGCUAGAGUGUGUCAGAGGAUGGUGGAAUUCCCGGUGUAGCGGUGAAAUGCGUAGAGAUCGGGAGGAACAUCAGUGGCGAAGGCGGCCCAUCUGGGACAACACUGACGCUGAAGCACGAAAGCGUGGGGAGCAAACAGG
rnacentral:rRNA from 1 species